GACGAACGCUGGCGGCGCGCUUAACACAUGCAAGUCGAACGGAAAGGCCUGCUUUCCCUUGUGGGUUGCGGGUACUCGAGUGGCGAACGGGUGAGUAACACGUGAGUGAUCUGCCCCCAACUUGGGUAUAAGCCUGGGAAACUGGGUCUAAUUCCCGAUAGGACUGCAGGGUGGUGCCUGUGGUGGAAAACGAUUUUCUAGUGGUUGGGGAUGAGCUCGCGGCCUAUCAGCUUGUUGGUGGGGUAAUGGCCUACCAAGGCGGCGACGGGUAGCCGGCCUGAGGGGGUGGACGGCCACAUUGGGACUGAGAUACGGCCCAGACUCCUACGGGAGGCAGCAGUGGGGAAUAUUGCACAAUGGGCGGAAGCCUGAUGCAGCGACGCCGCGUGGGGGAUGACGGCCUUCGGGUUGUAAACUCCUUUCGACCGCGAGGAAGCCACCUGGUUGGAAGGGUGGUGACGGUAGUGGUAGAAGAAGCACCGGCUAACUACGUG
rnacentral:rRNA from 1 species